CCUACGGGAGGCAGCAGUGAGGAAUAUUGGUCAAUGGACGAGAGUCUGAACCAGCCAAGUAGCGUGAAGGAUGACUGCCCUAUGGGUUGUAAACUUCUUUUAUAUGGGAAUAAAAUGCUCCACGUGUGGGAUUUUGUAUGUACCAUAUGAAUAAGGAUCGGCUAACUCCGUGCCAGCAGCCGCGGUAAUACGGAGGAUCCGAGCGUUAUCCGGCUUUAUUGGGUUUAAAGGGAGCGUAGGUGGAUUGUUAAGUCAGUUGUGAAAGUUUGCGGCUCAACCGUAAAAUUGCAGUUGAAACUGGCAGUCUUGAGUACAGUAGAGGUGGGCGGAAUUCGUGGUGUAGCGGUGAAAUGCUUAGAUAUCACGAAGAACUCCGAUUGCGAAGGCAGUUCACUGGACUGCAACUGACACUGAGGCUCGAAAGUGUGGGUAUCAAACAGGAUUAGAUACCCGUGUAGUC
rnacentral:rRNA from 1 species